AUUGAACGCUGGCGGCAGGCCUAACACAUGCAAGUCGAGCGGAGCGGCGGACGGGUGAGUACUGCCUAGGAAUCUGCCUGGUGGUGGGGGAUAACGUCCGGAAACGGGCGCUAAUACCGCAUACUAUCAGGUGACCCUAGGUCGGUUUAGCUAGUUGGUGGGGUAAAGGCCUACCAAGGCGACGAUCCGUAUCUGGUCUGAGAGGAGGAUCGGUAACACUGGAACUGAGACACGGUCCAGACUCCUACGGGAGGCAGCAGUGGGGAAUAUUGGACAAUGGGCGAAAGCCUGAUCCAGCAAUGCCGCGUGUGUGAAGAAGGUCUUCGGAUUGUAAAGCACUUUAAGUAGGGAGGCGUUACCAACAGAAUAAGCACCGGCUAACUACGUGCCAGCAGCCGCGGUAAUUC
rnacentral:rRNA from 1 species